rnacentral:rRNA from 1 species
UACGUAGGGUGCAAGCGUUGUCCGGAAUCAUUGGGCGUAAAGCGCGUGUAGGCGGCUCGGUCAGUCUGAUGUGAAAUCUUGGGGCUCAACCCCAAGCGGUCAUUGGAUACUGCCGGGCUUGAGUCCGGAAGAGGAGAGUGGAAUUCCUGGUGUAGCGGUGGAAUGCGCAGAUAUCAGGAGGAACACCAAUGGCGAAGGCAGCUCUCUGGUACGUGACUGACGCUGAGACGCGAAAGCGUGGGGAGCAAACAGG